UGGGAACCUUCCCUAUGGUUCGGAAUAGCCCAGGGAAACUUGGGGUAAUACCGAAUAAGCCCUUCGGGGGAAAGAUUUAUCGCCAUUGGAUGGGCCCGCGUCGGAUUAGCUGUUGGUGGGGUAAGCGCCACGA
rnacentral:rRNA from 1 species